rnacentral:rRNA from 1 species
UGGGGAAUUUUGGACAAUGGGCGAAAGCCUGAUCCAGCAAUGCCGCGUGAGUGAAGAAGGCCUUCGGGUUGUAAAGCUCUUUUGUCAGGGAAGAAACGGUGAAAGCUAAUAUCUUUUGCUAAUGACGGUACCUGAAGAAUAAGCACCGGCUAACUACGUGCCAGCAGCCGCGGUAAUACGUAGGGUGCAAGCGUUAAUCGGAAUUACUGGGCGUAAAGCGUGCGCAGGCGGUUUUGUAAGUCUGAUGUGAAAUCCCCGGGCUCAACCUGGGAAUUGCAUUGGAGACUGCAAGGCUAGAAUCUGGCAGAGGGGGUAGAAUUCCAGUGUAGCAGUGAAAUGCGUAGAUAUGUGAGGAACNCCGAUGGCGAAGGCAGCCCCCUGGGUCAAGAUUGACGCUCA